rnacentral:lncRNA from 1 species
UUUUUGCUUAAGGAUUUGCUUUAAAAACAGUGCACAACUCCAGGCCCUUGGCUAGCUCUACGAUGCCACCUCUUUUCUUUUUGCAGAUAAGAGUGAGAGAACAAAGAAGAAAAUACGCCCACGAUCCCAGCAACUUGCACACAACGCUCCAGAUCAGAAUUCAUCCUGUUUUGCUUAGGGGGAAAAAUACCUAUUUCUUUGAGUCCUACUGACAUACACACAUGCUACCUGUCAUCAGCAGGACCGCAUACGUGCUGUGCUAAAUCUGAAAGUGUGAACGGAGUACAGCAAUAAGAGAGCAACAAUUACAAGGCGGAUGAGUUCCUGGGAGAUGGCACGGCUCAUUAUGAGAUGCAAAGCAAGCCCUGAUUAUGUACACGGACAUACUAAAAACCACAACGAAGGGAAAUCAUCGCACCCCAGGGAGAGUGCAAGCUGGGAUAUACCGGCGGAGGGUCAGCACUGCCGUCUUUUCUGCUUGCAUGUCAUCCAGCCAACACCUCUUCUCCAACUGCCCAGACCUUCUUUUCAUCAGCUUUUGGAGGAUGAAAAUGACCCCCCUUACCUGGCCAGCUCGACUUGCCAGAGCCCUGGUUUCCCAUGAACUCUAUAAAAUCCUUUCCGCUGGCAUGAGGCUUAUAAAUACCAUUGCAAGGAAAUAAGAGAGAUACAUGCAGGCAGAGAGGAAAGCACCCCCACCCCCCAAAACUGGACACACCUGGGUCACGAUAGUGUUUCACACAUUUUUUGUUCCUUGACAUAUUUCACAGAAAUCUUACUGAAUCGUAAAGCUGGGCUUGUGACACAUAAGGGUUACCUAAAACAAUACCUGCCAGAUAAAGGAAUCCAAAGACUGUAUGUUGAGGCUUUGGAAAUGUUCAGUCCUCAACAGCUCAGAUUUUUGCAUUGCAGCUCGCUGCCCAGGUCUCAGUGGUCGGCGUCUGCAAAACCCAACCGCCCAGAGUACAAAGCCCCACUGCACUGAUCCCUGAAACGAGUACUGGAAAUCAGUCCUCCUACCCCUAGCAGAAGAACAUACUGCCGGGGUACAAAGAGCAAUGGACCCACAAUGACUCUUAACACUAAGCAUCUUAUUUGAAAUCUAACUGAAAAAAAGUUAUGCUACAAGACAGCCCCCACAAAAGAGGUGGUCUCUGGUCUUCUACUCACAACACUGCAGACCAAGAGACUUGGGCAAUUUCCCAAUUAUGGGAACAGCUUGGUACUCCUAUCUGAACCAAAUACAAGAGGAGACAGAAACACUCCCCACCACAAAGCACCAUUUUGGAAGCAGACUACCUGAGCUAAGAGACCUGGCUGGGGCUUUUACAGCCUCAUGCAGCACUAUCCUGUGGCAGACAUGUAGCAUUGCAAGCAGAUGAUCCGAAAAAGAAAAAAAGAAAAGAAAAGAAAAAAUGCAAAUUAAAAAUCAAACUACAACAAAAGAAACAAGGGAGGAAAAAACAAUAAAAUGGAAAAGGUGUCCUCUCA